AUCAAGUGCAGAGAGUGAGGUUGAUGCAGAAAGUGAGGUCGAUGAAGGAAAUCUCACAUAUCCACAGACUGAUUCUACAGAGAUGAAAAGAACAACACAACCUGUUGAAGCUUCAGGUUCUGCAGGACUGCUGAAUGCUAGGCAACUUGUUGAGAAACUUCCAGGCAUGUCUGCGCCAUUAUCACAAGCAUGUGAAAACGCAGAUGGAAAGGGCAAAGAACCCAGCAGAAAACUAAUGGAGGACAAAGAGCCCAUCAGAAAAAAGACAACGAAUAAACAGUCUGUUCCUCUGGAAAGUGCUAGGAGAGCAAAAAAGCAUCAAUGGUCUCCCAUGGAGGUUGCCGCGGUCAUGAGACAUUUUGACGAACACAUCAAAAAAGGAAAACUGGCCACUAUGAUUGAAUGCCAGCAAUGCAAGGAGGCAGAAGAUCCUGCUCUGGCUGGUCGCUCUAUUCUAAACAUAAGAGACUUCGUAAGAAAUCGUGGUGUGACUUUGAAAAGAAAAAAUAAUCCUAGCUAUAAUAUGGAAAUGUAAUGAAUUGUCCACCAGUGAUGUCAUCUCCACACAGUCCAUUUAGUUCUAAUUUGGUUUAGUUUGCCUGUUAAGUUAUGUUUCCGGUGUUCCUUUUUUGUCCUUUUCCAGCCACUAAUCAGUUACCAUGGAACAUUCAUUUACUAAAAAAACAGUUAUUAGUCGUGAAGUUCAUCAUUAUACCGUGCAUUUAAGCUCCUCUUUAGUUCUCAUUUUCUGUCCGGUUUUUGUUAUACCUGCAGUUUUGUUGCUGUCU
ensembl:lncRNA